rnacentral:rRNA from 1 species
ACGAACGCUGGCGGCGUGCUUAACACAUGCAAGUCGAACGGUGAAGCGCCUUCCUUUUUGGUGGGUGUGGAUGAGUGGCGAACGGGUGAGUAACACGUGAGUAACCUGCCCCCUUCUUCUGGAUAACCGCAUGAAAGUGUGGCUAAUACGGGAUAUUCUGGGUCUGUCGCAUGAUGGGUCUGGGAAAGAUAUUGUUUCGGUGGGGGAUGGGCUCGCGGCCUAUCAGCUUGUUGGUGGGGUGAUGGCCGACCAAGGCGGUGACGGGUAGCCGGCCUGAGAGGGUGGACGGUCACACUGGGACUGAGACACGGCCCAGACUCCGACGGGAGGCAGCAGUGGGGAAUAUUGCACAAUGGGCGCAAGCCUGAUGCAGCGACGCCGCGUGAGGGAUGGAGGCCUUCGGGUUGUGAACCUCUUUCGCCAGUGAAGCAGGCCUGCCUCGUUUGUGGGUGGGUUGACGGUAGCUGGAGAAGAAGCGCCGGCUAACUACGUG